rfam:Gossypium hirsutum cultivar TM-1 chromosome 21, whole genome shotgun sequence
UGUUAAAGAUUUCAUCAAUUUAUACUGUUCAAGAUUGACGUAGUUGAUAGAAUAACCAAAUAGCGACACGUGGUGUGCCACGUUUACCUCAUACUGAUGUACAAAGAUCAAUUUUUAACAUUAAAAAUGGAAGGAAUUUUUAAUA